rnacentral:misc_RNA from 1 species
GAUGGAAGAACGUAGUGAAAUGCGAUAAGUAAUGUGAAUUGCAGAAUUCAGUGAAUCAUCGAAUCUUUGAACGCACCUUGCGCCUUUUGGUAUUCCGAAAGGCACACCUGUUUGAGCGUCAUGAAUACCUCAAUCUCCAUCUUUUCUUCGGAUUGAUGGGUGACUUGGAUGUUGAGCCCUGCUGGUAUGCUAUAUCAGCUGGCUUUAAACUUAUUAGCCGGCUCUGUACUGGAUCGGUUUGACUCGACGUGAUAAUAUUAUCGUUGAGGAUGCAUGUCUCAUGCAGCCGGAAAGUAUCAAAGCAGCUUCUAGCUUGCCUUUAGUGCACUUUUACAUUUUAGACCUCAGAUCAGGUGGGACUACCCGCUGAACUUAAGCAUAUCAAUAAGCGGAGGA